rnacentral:tRNA from 1 species
GGCCCCAUCGUCUAUCGGUUAGGACGCUAGGUUUUCAUCCUAGAAGGCAGAGUCCGACUCUCUGUGGGGUCA